UACGAAGGGGGGCUAGCGUUGCUCGGAAUCACUGGGCGUAAAGGGUGCGUAGGCGGGUUUUUUAAGUCAGAGGUGAAAUCCUGGAGCUCAACUCCAGAACUGCCUUUGAUACUGAAAGUCUUGAGUAUGGGAGAGGUGAGUGGAACUGCGAGUGUAGAGGUGAAAAUUCGUAGAUAUUCGCAAGAACACCAGUGGCGAAGGCGGCUCACUGGCCCAUUACUGACGCUGAGGCGCGAAAAGCUAGGGGGAGCAAACGGG
rnacentral:rRNA from 1 species